rnacentral:rRNA from 1 species
UACGGAGGGUGCAAACGUUGCUCGGAAUCAUUGGGCGUAAAGCGCACGUAGGCGGCCUGUUAAGUCGGGUGUGAAAGCCCUGGGCUCAACCCAGGAAGUGCACUCGAAACUGGCGGGCUUGAAUAUGGAAGAGGGUCGCGGAAUUCCCGGUGUAGAGGUGAAAUUCGUAGAUAUCGGGAGGAACACCUGUGGCGAAAGCGGCUCACUGGACCA